rnacentral:lncRNA from 1 species
GGACCAGCGGUAUCAACAUCACCUGGGAAGAUGUAGAAGCACAAAUUCUCCUGCCUACUCCAGACCUACAGAAUUAGAAACUCUGGGGCUGGAGCUCAGUAAUCGGUGAUUUACCAGUCCUCCAGGUGAUUCUGAAACAUGCUCUCGUGUGAGGACCACUGCUGUAAAGGCAAGUCUGUCCACUUGUAAAACCCUGUGAUUCUACCUUGCCUGAUAAUCUUCACCAACUCGAAACUGUAGUGAACUCCGUAUCCUCUCAUUAAGCAGACCUCUUGGCCUCAAAAGGAGAUGUAAGUCCUUGGAAAGAGUUAGUGAUGCGACCACUCAAUUCCAUGGCCUCAGUGUCUUACCAAGCCCUUGACUCCUGGUGUUUGUCCUCAUAGUCCCUGUGCUCUGUGCCUGUUAUUAAGGUCAGAAGAACCUACUCCUGCACCCAAACUCACCAUCUGCUUACCCGGCAGGUGAGUUUGGGCAACAUUUUGAUUGACUUUCACCUAUUCCAGAUGAGAAUCUUGAAAAGAGAUUUGGGAACCUUAUUUCUCCUGUUUGACCACUAAAACUGUGCUUAGACCUCUCUUGCUGUACCGCCAUUGUUGUAGUAAACACCGAAGUUCCCGGUUCUGGUGCUGAAUUAGUCCCUUAACAAUAAUCUGCUAGGUGUUCUAGUCACUGACCUGCAUUCGUCCUCUAGUCCUAUUCUGGGGCCCUUAGUCUCUGUUAGGACUCAGUUGAAUCCUUCCCUCAUACCCAACAAAUUUGUAUGUUGGAGUCCUAACCCCCAGGACCUCAGAAUAUGGCUAUAUUUGGACACAGACCUUUAAUGAGAUAAUUGACUUAAAUGAGGCCAUUAGAAUGGGCCUUAAUCCAGUAUGAACAGUGUCCUUAAGAGGAGAUUCGGACACAGAUGUGCACCAAGGGAAGACCCUGUGAAGAUACAGGGAGAAGACGGCGUCUGCAAGCCAAUGAGAGAGGCCUCAAAAGAAAUCAACCCUGCCAACAUCCUGAUCUCAGACCUCCAGCCUCCAAAACUAUGAUGGAUGCAUACCCAAAAAAAUAACCAGAAGGCUAAGCAGAAUAUGAAAACUUCCAAAUGAAUGCAACAGUCACUGUUAACAAACAGAGUGGCCAGGUGACUCAAAUGUGUGGACUUUUGCUGCUGAAGUAUUGUAAAGAUGGAUUAUUCUGACCUAGGAAGAUGUGAGACCAUGCCAGGGAGCUGAAGACAAGGUUUUCCUGAAGGGGAAAGGAAGGUUUCAUUGUGAAAGAUCUCUCUCUCUCUCACUCUGGAGAAGGAGGAGGAGGAAGAAAAUGGUGAGAUUCUUAAGACAAGGAGGCAAAGCUUUUCCUUUUUUCUUGGUUUCUGGAAAUAGUCAUAUUUAGAACACAGUUUUUCUACAUUAUAAUUCCCUCUAGUUACU